CCCUUAGAUGUUCUGGGCCGCACGCGUGCUACACUGAGUGGAUCAGCGGGUCAGGUUGCGCGAAAGCGUUUCCUAAUCUUUAAAUCCGCUCGUGAUGGGGAUUGACGGUUGCAAUUUUCUGUCAUGAACGAGGAAUACCUUGUAAGCGCGGGUCAUCAUCCCGCGCUGAAUACGUCCCUGCCCUUUGUACGCACCGCCCGUCGCUCCUACCGAUUGAGUGGUCCGGUGAGGCUUUGGGAUCUGAGCGGAAAGAGCGUUUCGCUGUUUCUGCUCGGAAAACUCAGUCGAACCUUAUCAUUUAGAGGAAGGAGAAGUCGUAACA
rnacentral:rRNA from 1 species